UGUGUAGGCGGACUUCUAAGUACCUUGUGAAAUCCCACGGCUUAACUGUGGAACUGCUUGGUAUACUGGUUGUCUUGAGCCACUCAGGGGCGAGCGGAACAAAUGGUGGAGCGGUGAAAUGCGUAGAUAUCAUUUGGAACGCCAACGGUGAAAACAGCUCGCUGGGGGUGUGCUGACGCUGAGACACGAAAGCCAGGGGAGCGAACG
rnacentral:rRNA from 1 species